rnacentral:rRNA from 1 species
UACGAAGGGGGCUAGCGUUGUUCGGAAUCACUGGGCGUAAAGGGCGCGUAAGCGGCCAUAUAAGUCGGGGGUGAAAGCCUGUGGCUCAACCACAGAAUUGCCUUCGAUACUGUAUGGCUCGAGACCGGAAGAGGUAAGUGGAACUGCGAGUGUAGAGGUGAAAUUCGUAGAUAUUCGCAAGAACACCAGUGGCGAAGGCGGCUCACUGGCCCAUUACUGACGUUGAGGCACGAAAGCGUGGGGAGCAAACAGG